AUACGGAGGGGGCGAGCGUUAUUCGGAAUCAUUGGGCGUAAAGGGCGCGUAGGCGGCCUGACAAGUCAGGGGUGAAAUCCCUCGGCUCAACCGAGGAACUGCCUCUGAAACUGUCAGGCUUGAGGCCGGGAGAGGGUAGUGGAAUUCCCAGUGUAGCGGUGAAAUGCGUAGAUAUUGGGAGGAACACCAGUGGCGAAGGCGGCUACCUGGACCGGUUCUGACGCUGAGGCGCGAAAGCGUGGGGAGCAAACGGGAUUAGAAACCCUAGUAGUCC
rnacentral:rRNA from 1 species